rnacentral:rRNA from 1 species
UCGAGCGGACAGAUGGGAGCUUGCUCCCUGAUGUUAGCGGCGGACGGGUGAKUAACACGUGGGUAACCUGCCUGUAAGACUGGGAUAACUCCGGGAAACCGGGGCUAAUACCGGAUGSUUGUUUGAACCGCAUGGUUCAGACAUAAAAGGUGGCUUCGGCUACCACUUACAGAUGGACCCGCGGCGCAUUAGCUAGUUGGUGAGGUAACGGCUCACCAAGGCRACGAUGCGUAGCCGACCUGAGAGGGUGAUCGGCCACACUGGGACUGAGACACGGCCCAGACUCCUACGGGAGGCAGCAGUAGGGAAUCUUCCGCAAUGGACGAAAGUCUGACGGAGCAACGCCGCGUGAGUGAUGAAGGUUUUCGGAUCGUAAAGCUCUGUUGUUAGGGAAGAACAAGUGCCGUUCAAAUAGGGCGGCACCUUGACGGUACCUAACCAGAAAGCCACGGCUAACUACGUGCCAGCAGCCGCGGUAAUACGUAGGUGGCAAGCGUUGUCCGGAAUUAUUGGGCGUAAAGGGCUCGCAGGCGGUUUCUUAAGUCUGAUGUGAAAGCCCCCGGCUCAACCGGGGAGGGUCAUUGGAAACUGGGGAACUUGAGUGCAGAAGAGGAGAGUGGAAUUCCACGUGUAGCGGUGAAAUGCGUAKAGAUGUGGAGGAA